rnacentral:sRNA from 1 species
CUUAGAAAUACUGACAGAAGCCAGGUGUUUCUGCAAUCUCUGCACUUGGGAGACGGAAACAAGAGAAUCAAGAAUCCAAGGCCAACAGAUGUUGGAGAUCUAAAGCAAGUACCAGAGCACAUGAAGCAAGUGUUUCACCACUGCUACAUCCCUAGCCCAUGGAUAAGAGUUUAAGCAAGUAUAUAUACUCCCGCUCAACAUGGUGGCACACACCUGUAAUCACAGCAUUUGGGAGUCAAAAAAGAUCAUCUAGAAUUUAAGGUCAGCCGAACAAUCUCACAAAGAAGGAAGAGGAAAAUCUAAGAUAGUUGUCCAUCACUGCUUCUAUGGUUGUGAUGAAGACCAAAAGCAACUCUGGGAGAAGGUUUUUACGUCAGCUUACAGUCAUCAUGAGAAACCCGGGAGGAACCUGCAAACAGGAAGUGAAGCCCAGGCCAUAGAGGGCGCCAUCUACCGCUUGUUUUACAUGGCUUGCUCAUCAUACAUUUUUAGACAACCAGGACGACCUGCCUGCCCAGGGGUGGUCCAUUGAGAUGUUGAGGCCAAUCUGAUAGAAGCAUUUACUCAAUUGUGUCAAGUUGACAAAAAA